GACGAACGCUGGCGGCGUGCUUAACACAUGCAAGUCGAACGGAAAGGCUCCAGCUUGCUGGAGUGCUCGAGUGGCGAACGGGUGAGUAACACGUGGGCAAUCUGCCCUGCACUCUGGGAUAAGCCUGGGAAACUGGGUCUAAUACCGGAUAGGACCUUUCUCCUCAUGGGGUUUGGUGGAAAGUUUUUCGGUGCAGGAUGAGCCCGCGGCCUAUCAGCUUGUUGGUGGGGUAAUGGCCUACCAAGGCGACGACGGGUAGCCGGCCUGAGAGGGUGAUCGGCCACAUUGGGACUGAGAUACGGCCCAGACUCCUACGGGAGGCAGCAGUGGGGAAUAUUGCACAAUGGGCGAAAGCCUGAUGCAGCGACGCCGCGUGAGGGAUGACGGCCUUCGGGUUGUAAACCGCUUUCGGUAGGGACGAAGCGCAAGUGACGGUACCUGCAGAAGAAGCACCGGCUAACUACGUG
rnacentral:rRNA from 1 species